rnacentral:rRNA from 1 species
AGUGAACGCUGGCGGUAGGCCUAACACAUGCAAGUCGAACGGCAGCACAGUAAGAGCUUGCUCUUACGGGUGGCGAGUGGCGGACGGGUGAGGAAUACAUCGGAAUCUACUUUUUCGUGGGGGAUAACGUAGGGAAACUUACGCUAAUACCGCAUACGACCUACGGGUGAAAGCAGGGGAUCUACGGACCUUGCGCGAUUGAAUGAGCCGAUGUCGGAUUAGCUAGUUGGCGGGGUAAAGGCCCACCAAGGCGACGAUCCGUAGCUGGUCUGAGAGGAUGAUCAGCCACACUGGAACUGAGACACGGUCCAGACUCCUACGGGAGGCAGCAGUGGGGAAUAUUGGACAAAGGGCGCAAGCCUGAUCCAGCCAUACCGCGUGGGUGAAGAAGGCCUUCGGGUUGUAAAGCCCUUUUGUUGGGAAAGAAAAGCAGCAGGUUAAUACCCCGCUGUUCUGACGGUACCCAAAGAAUAAGCACCGGCUAACUUCGUG